rnacentral:rRNA from 1 species
AGCGAACGUUUGCGGCGGGCCUAACACAUGCAAGUCGAACGCACUAGCAAUAGUGAGUGGCGCACGGGUGCGUAACACGUGGGUAAUCAACCCUUCAGCCUGGGAUAACGACUCGAAAGGGUCGCUAAUACCGGAUACGGCGCGAGAGGCUUCGGCUUCUCACGAGAAAGCCACGCAAGGGGCACUGAAGGACGAGCCUGCGGCCCAUCAGCUAGUUGGUGAGGUAAGAGCUCACCAAGGCUAAGACGGGUAGCUGGUCUGAGAGGAUGAUCAGCCACACUGGAACUGAGACACGGUCCAGACUCCUACGGGAGGCAGCAGUGGGGAAUAUUGCGCAAUGGGCGAAAGCCUGACGCAGCGACGCCGCGUGGGCGAAGAAGGCCUCGG